rnacentral:rRNA from 1 species
GGAGUUUGGUCCGUGUCUCAGUACCAAUGUGGGGGACCUUCCUCUCAGAACCCCUACGCAUCGUCGCCUUGGUGGGCCUCUGCCCCGCCAACUAGCUAAUGCGCCGCAUGCCCAUCCCCUUCCGGCUCGCCUUUCCCGGCCCGGCCAUGCGGCUGGACCGACUAUGGGAUAUUAGGCCACAUUUCUAUGGGUUAUCUCCCAGAAGGGGGCAGGUUGCAUACGUGUUACUCACCAGUGCGCCGGUCGCCGACAGCAAGUGUUGCCACUCGCCCGCUGCCCCUCGACUUGCAUGUGUUAAGCCUGUCGCUAGCGUUCAUC